rnacentral:tRNA from 2 species
GGCUCGGUAGCUUAGUUGGUAAAGCGCUCGUCUAGCAUACCAGAGUCCUGGGUUCAAAUCCCAGCCGAGCAC